GAGACCUGUAUCUACCGUUGCUAACGCGCCCGCAAGGGUGAGCGAGCACACUGUAGAGACUGCCUUCGAAAGAAGGAGGAAGGUGCAGGCUACGCUAGGUCUGUACGCCCCGAAUCUGCUGGGCUACACGCGCGCAACAAUGGUCGUGACAAUGGGAUGCAACACCGAAAGGUGAAGCCAAACCUCGAAACACGACCCUAGUAUGAAUUGAGGGUUGCAACUCACCCUCAUGACAUCGGAAUCCCUAGUAAUCAGAGGUUAGCAUCCUCCGGUGAAUAU
rnacentral:rRNA from 1 species